AGCAAACGCUGGCGGCAGGCCUAACACAUGCAAGUCGAACGAACCUUUCGGGGUUAGUGGCGGACGGGUGAGUAACACGUGGGAACGUGCCUUUAGGUUCGGAAUAACUCAGGGAAACUUGUGCUAAUACCGAAUGUGCCCUUCGGGGGAAAGAUUUAUCGCCUUUAGAGCGGCCCGCGUCUGAUUAGCUAGUUGGUUGAGGUAAUGGCUCACCAAGGCGACGAUCAGUAGCUGGUCUGAGAGGAUGAUCAGCCACAUUGGGACUGAGACACGGCCCAAACUCCUACGGGAGGCAGCAGUGGGGAAUCUUGCGCAAUGGGCGAAAGCCUGACGCAGCCAUGCCGCGUGAAUGAUGAAGGUCUUAGGAUUGUAAAAUUCUUUCACCGGGGACGAUAAUGACGGUACCCGGAGAAGAAGCCCCGGCUAACUUCGUG
rnacentral:rRNA from 1 species